GAUUUCUUAACAAAGACCCCGGGUCCAGGACGUCUUGUGGCAGGCCAGGAAAAUCUCUGGCCAUUUUAAACGAUUUUACACCGCCAUGGCUCGCUUUGCUGAUGUUUAGCGGCGAC